UGACUGGAAUCAGCCUCCUUGGAGGCAGGUAGAGUU
rnacentral:misc_RNA from 1 species